rnacentral:rRNA from 1 species
GAUGAACGCUGGCGGCGUGCCUAAUACAUGCAAGUCGAGCGAACAGACGAGGAGCUUGCUCCUCUGACGUUAGCGGCGGACGGGUGAGUAACACGUGGAUAACCUACCUAUAAGACUGGGAUAACUUCGGGAAACCGGAGCUAAUACCGGAUAAUAUAUUGAACCGCAUGGUUCAAUAGUUAAAGACGGUUUUGCUGUCACUUAUAGAUGGAUCCGCGCCGCAUUAGCUAGUUGGUAAGGUAACGGCUUACCAAGGCGACGAUGCGUAGCCGACCUGAGAGGGUGAUCGGCCACACUGGAACUGAGACACGGUCCAGACUCCUACGGGAGGCAGCAGUAGGGAAUCUUCCGCAAUGGGCGAAAGCCUGACGGAGCAACGCCGCGUGAGUGAUGAAGGUCUUCGGAUCGUAAAACGCUGUUAUUAGGGAAGAACAAAUGUGUAAGUACCUAUGCACGUCUUGACGGUACCUAAUCAGAAAGCCACGGCUAACUACGUG